rnacentral:rRNA from 1 species
UACGUAGGGGGCAAGCGUUGUCCGGAUUUAUUGGGCGUAAAGGGCACGUAGGCGGUGAAUCGGGUUGAAAGUGAAAGUCGCCAAAAAGUGGCGGAAUGCUCUCGAAACCAAUUCACUUGAGUGAGACAGAGGAGAGUGGAAUUUCGUGUGUAGGGGUGAAAUCCGUAGAUCUACGAAGGAACGCCAAAAGCGCAGGCAGCUCUCUGGGUCCCUACCGACGCUGGGGUGCGAAAGCAUAGGGAGCGAACAGG